AUCCAGCUGACAAGUCCCAAAUAGGACGAAGUGUCGCACGUCCUGGAU
rnacentral:hammerhead_ribozyme from 1 species